AUUGAACGCUAGCGGGAUGCCUUACACAUGCACGUCGAACGGAGUGGCGACCGGGUGAGUAUUGUUUCGGAACGUGCCCAGUAGCGGGGGAUAACUCCGCGAAAGCGUAGCUAAUACCGCAUACUCUUGGCCCGGCCGAUAUCCGAGUAGCUAGUUGGUGGGGUAACGGCUAACCAAGGCGACGACCCGUAGCUGGUGUGAGAGGACGACCAGCCACACUGGAACUGAGACACGGCCCAGGCACCUGCGGGAGGCAGCAGUGGUGAAUUUUGGACAAUGGGAGAAACCCUGAGCCAGCAAUCCCGCGUGUGCGAUGAAGGCCUUCGGGUUGUAAAGCACUGUUGGCAGGAAAGCGGUACCUGCAGAAUAAGCACCGGCUAACUACGUGCCAGCAGCCGCGGUAAUAC
rnacentral:rRNA from 1 species